UGGGAGGUCACCACACGUUCAAGUAUUUUGCUGCAGAAACAUGUUCUGGCAGGCUGUAGCUAGCACUGGGCUGACGCUAGCUAUGGAAGCGGGUAGAUUAACGAGCCCAUAUAAAAUCCCAACAGUCUGUGGAGAAGUUGUCUAGAUGAAAAGCAGUGAGACAACAGAAUAAAUCCCCAGCAUAGGAGGCAUAGCAGCAGUAAACUCCAAGAGGGUCCGUGGAGAGAUGGCUAAGGAAGCUGCACCGGCGAAGCCGCUAGACUUCACUCACUGAAGUUAGACGCUGGCUAACCGGCCAUGCACAAAGAGAGUGUCCCGAUCCAGGCAGAAACAGCAGGAGGAUGCCAAAAGAGCAAGAGGACAUCUUCCGAAUGUCUGAAUUGCACUGAUGUGUAAAGUGGCAUCAAGUUACACAUUCUUCAAGUGGAAAACUGAAAAAAAGAAAAAAAAAAAGGCAGAGGUCACGGUAAGUCAAGAAAACAUCUCUUUUCCUGAGUCAAACACAGCCAUAGUGUAACUUUACUCCGCGGCUGAAACUGAAGUCUCCAUUUUUAACACAUGCGUUACGAAUCUGACUCACAGGCCCCAUAAAAACAGAGCAAUGUGUCGGCUGAUGCACAUGGGUGGGAGAAAAAAAAAAA